GGGGCUGAACGGUUUCGACUUUGGUCGGACGGUUCAGGUGAAGCGGGUCGAGAACCCAGGGUCAUCUCGUGAACGUCCCCUGGAAACCUAUAAGUGCCAACGCAAAGCGCACUGACUUCGCCCUCGCCGCCUGAGGCGAGUAACGCGAAGGGUCAGUCUGGGAGCGCCUCCGUCCCAGUAGCUGGCCUCAUCUAGGAGGCUUGCUGAUCAGACCCGGCCGCGGGAUCUGAUCGGGACAUUUACAGCGGCUGAGCCCGUCGGCGACGUGUCUGCGCGAGUGCCGGGGUUGAGAACACGACAUCGCAGGCUGCACCCGGAGAAGCCCUGAGUCGACGUCGAAGGACGCGGGUUCGAUUCCCGCCAGCUCCACUA
rnacentral:tmRNA from 1 species